CAGGAUUUGAUCCAUCUUUGCUUUCUUUUUCUCUUGUAGGGGUGUUGAGAAACAAGACAACUUUCAAGCAAUGAGACCCUUCUGGUUUUUCAUACUGAUUUUUGGGGUACUCCUGGCUGCACCAGCAUUCACUACAGAUAUUCGGAGGGCUAAGGCCUGUAAAGAUGCCAAAGGCAUCUGUAGGCUUGCAACUUGCCUGCAUGAUCCUUGGGAGCGCAUUGGAAAAUGUGGAGACAAAAGGACUUGCUGCAUAAGGAAAACCACUAAGUAGCCUUAUCAUAAGGCUCCUGAUGGACAUCUCAGGAUUGACAGUGAAUUUUACUCACAAUAUUGCUCUUGUUUUAUUAAGUAGUGAGCCGGCAUGCCUGAGUUUGAAAAUAAAACUGGUGCCAAUGAGAGAAGAUGAGAAAAGAUCUCUUGCCUUGAGCUUUGAAACAAAUGCUUCCAUUUGCUAGCCUCUGAAGGAAUAGUAAGAGAAAUAAAAAAAUAAUGA